rnacentral:lncRNA from 1 species
CGCGAAAGUGCGCGGGACUAUACUUGGAAAAGUCGCUCAGGUGUAGUUUCUGAAGCGCCGGCGGAGCUGGACCGAAGCCCCUUUUUUUGUCCCGCGCCUUGGGCGUUUCCCGGGCAAAUGUGUCGGCGUUGGGUCAAGUUGAAUACCUGUUCUUUGCCCUGUGGCCAGGUCCAGCGCGCAAGAGGGAAGAGCGUGUCUGCUGGAACGGAAAAGUUUUAUAUUCGCGUUCACGACGAGGCUGUCCAGGCACUUAAGGAGAAAAACCUGCAGCAGAGACUGAAGAGGCAGUCAGGACGGGUUUCUUAUUAGAGAAGGCAAGGGAAGACCGCGUCUGAAGACGGAGGGAGUGAUUAACUGCAGAGUGCUGCUGGGAGGUCAAGUAAGAGGACUAAGGAAGGUCUGUUGUGUAUAGUAACAUGGAGGCCAGUGAAACUUUAGUAAGAACUACUUAGGUAGAAAGAUGGAAGCUGGAUUCAGGAGAGCUGAGGAACGAGAAGGAGGUGAGGAAAUGAAUCUCCUCACCCUUCAAAAAUCCGCUUAAAUGCCACUCGCUCUGAGACUCCUUACUCAGUAAUCUAAAUCUCCUUUUACGACCUCUUGUUGAAGUUUUAACCUUUUUUCAUGGCGAUUUGUAAUGUAAUCGGUUCGAUAAAUUGUUUUAUGUCUGUCUCCCCAACUACCUGAGCUCCGUAAGAACAGGAAUCCUGCUUAUUUUGUACUCUAUUACUAGCACCCUAGAGCUUAGUCUGAGCUCAGGAAAUAUUUAUUAUAUAAAUAGAACUUUAAAAGCUCUAAGUCCUUUAUUUCAUUUUAUCCACUUUCGAGUUGAGGAAAUUAGAAAGUUUUGUGAGCUUGCAUCAGAUCAUAUAGUAAGUGAAUAGCAGAAUCUAAGCACAGGUCAUCAGGCACCAAAAGUUUAAUAAUUCGGUAUUCUGCCUUCCCAAUUGAAAUUUCAAAUCAGUAAAUUGAUUUUACAAAUCAGUGAUUGAUUGUAGACUCGAAGUAAUUUUUCUUGAUGGAUGAUUAAAAAGGAACGACACAACUCUGUACCUUCAAGAAACUUCAGAUUCAAUGAGACAGACAUGUAAAUAAAUAUGAAUAACAUAAGGUGGUAAUACUUUCC